CUAGCACGGAGGGAGUAAUUGCUAUGAUAAUAACCAUUCCACUUAACUACAAAAUGACACCCCAGAAAGUUGCCUUUCUACAUAUUUAUCUAUAUAUCCUCUGCUUAAAAAUGAAGAUGGAGUUUCGCGGAAAACAAAAAAUGUGUGUAGAUAUAGCUGUUUUAUGGGAUUGUGAAAGGGGAGACGGUGUUAGUAAGGAAUGUUCUUCACUUGUCCAGUGUCUUUGACUAAUAAUUUUUUGGUAUCACAUCCUCUAAGAGAAGUCCAUUUUACUCCAAUGAGCACAAUUAUGCUAAUGAUACUGUGAUGGUUGAGCUGCCAAUCUGACUUGCUAUUUAGUUUGAUAAUGCAGACAGAUACACCUAUUCUUGGUCUUUUGGAGGUUGGCGGGGGGUCGAAUAGCAGUAUACGGGGACUCUAACUGCUUGGACAGCAGCCAUAUGGUUACCAAUUGUUAUGGACUUUUGAAGAAAAUGCUAGAUUUUACAAGAAGGAAUAUAAAAGAUCCUAUGCUUUUCUCAGAUUCAGUUCGACAGGAGAACCCGUUAUAUGUUGAUAAGAACCAGCUACCAACCCGUAGAACGGAUGUGAAUUUCUCUGCUUAUUCUAGAGUUGUUGGAAAGGAGUUGUUAUGCGGGCGUGACUCCAGGUUUGAAGUAUGGGGAACUAAGGGUUACAAUUUACAGGUCAGAGGAAGGAAUCGUAAGCUACCUGGCUAUCAUGUCAUUGACUUGGGUAGAGGUUUAAAUUCUACAGUGGACGCACCUGUUUCAGUAACAUCUAACACGACUCAGAAGGAUGUCGACUCUCCUGGAAAUGCGUACUGGGGCUUCUUUUAGAUGAUAUUGACAUGCCUGUGCUUGUAGCUACUCAUUGGUUAGUGCCUGCAAUUUUUGCCAUCGCAGGUCUAUUGAUCUUAUUCUGGCGCAUGCAAAAGGGUCGAAGGAGGAGGAGAGGUUCUGGUUCAGGUCGGUUUACUAAUUUAUAGCCUUAGACUUGACUUUGCUUGCAUUCUUUAGUUUUACUGUACUACUGUAGGUUGUUUUAUUGUAAUAUCAUACAAAAAAUGACUAGAUCAUCGAAAGGUGAGUUUUGUAUUAUUAGUGUAGUUAUCUAUAACAUUUUUUCCCUGAUUAGAUUGAUUUCUAGACAGUAAAAUCAAAGAAAUUUUAGCCACUCUCUAAGAGAAAAAGAAGAAAUAACUCUUAUUUCUCUUGGUGGGAGUUAUGGCUUUGCUGGUUUGCCUGAUAAUUUUUCAUCGGUCUCCAAUUGCCUCCACUCGUCGGGUUCCGGUCGUGUUAGUUUUACCUCUCCAAUAGGGGCGAACAUUAUCACGUUAAAAAAAAAAAAAAAAAAAAAAAAAUUUCAAACUCUAUUGAG